UGUGGAUUGGGUGGAACGCCGCCACGGGUAUGAGGGUAUGAUAUCUGGACCGGGUUGCGCGCCACAACAGUGUGAUGUGGAGAAUAGUAUUCUAUAUGUUACUUUGUACGCCUUGCUUCCUGAUUUCUGAGGAAGGUCCGUAUUGGGUGCUACUCGGCAAAUAUCGCAUGUAUUGUGUCCUUUCAGGAUUGAAUAAAGUAUAUUACUUGCUUCACCAUGGGUGUGAUGGAUUGCUGGGUUUCAGACCUAAAUAUGUGUGUGGUUGUCCGUGUUGAGCUUGGUGACUUGAGGUGCUUCAUGGAUAAUAGUGUUUGGAUAGGAUCACGCGUUAUGGCAAGGCCACGUGAUGUUAUGACCUGUCGAGGAGAAUUCAGGUACUCUAUUUCUAUGAUGUGAGACGGGAUCUCAGUUUUGUGUUGUAAUAGCAAGGCCACGUGAAGUAAUGACCUUUCGAGGAGAAUUCAGGUACUCUAUUUCUAUGAUGUGAGACAGGAUCUCAGUUUUGUGUUGUAAUGGUGUUGUUGAGCUUGAGGUACAAUUUUUUCGUUGAGUCAUUGUCAUGAUUUGAGUAUGUUCAGACUGCUUCUCAUUGGUGCGUGUAUUAUGCAAGUUCUGGCUUAGGCCUGUGGCGAGGUGCCGUAUCACAAGAGGGAAAUUGAUUCAUGAAUGGUAUGAUCUGAGAGAUGGGUUCAGUAUAUCGUGUAAUUCAGUUGCUGUUGGCAGUAUAUGAAAGUGUGGGAAUAAGACUUUACCUAACAGAAAGGUUUUCUAUCGGUAUCCGGUUAUUGCGGGCAGCCGCUGUGAAUGGAAGUUAUCGCUAUAUGUGUUUAUGUUAUGUUGGAUAUCAUAUGAUUGCAGCCGAGGUUGCAGGUAUGAAUUAUUACUGUUGGUCCGGGUUUAUUCUGAAUAUAGACGUGAGGUUCCGAUCUUGUGUAUAACUUCGGAAAAUGCAAUGCGGUCCUAUGAUUUAAGAGUUAGAUGGAUUGUGAAAUUUCAGCUAUGUCGUGUUGUCGGACCUAUAGGAGAUAGGGUGACUUGGGAUCACCCCGGGUAUAUGCUUGGUAAGAUCAUUCAGCUAUUGGUUGGCUUCUAGAACAACUCUGGGUACGCUCAAGGACGAGCGUUUGUU
rnacentral:lncRNA from 1 species